GUGCAAGAGAGGAGCCGGCUCAGCAUCCGAACUACAUCUGGUGAGCAUUCCCCUGCCCGGCCCAGGGCAUGCCCCAGUUCACUUUCGCCUGUUUCUGUGGUCUUCACGGCUUCUGCAAGAUGAAGAGGAAGAAGGACGAAGUUCACAGAGAGAGGGAGACAGUGGUGUGAGGAGAACCAGGGUCUCCCUUGUCAGUUUCCAGUGGAUCUGAGCCUAAGGCUGCUGUGGUGCUCAGAGCGUGUGUCUUCCAUCUUUAUUUAACUGGUACCUGACCAACCUGAGGACAUCAGCCUUCUUGUGCCCACCCCUGUUAGCUACCAAUCUUUUGUGCUCCUGGAGAGGCCUCAGUUACACAAGGGUUUUCCCAGGAUCUGCCACUUGCCUUCUGGAGACUGGACAGCCUCCCUAGGAUCAAGGAAUGAAACUUUGGGGCUCUUCUCAGGGGACCCCUCCCAUGAAGCUUAUGCGGCCUUGGGAGAGGAGAGCAGUUGCUAAACAGCAAAGUAACUGUUUUUGCAGACCUUGGAGGGUUUGAUGUAUGCGACACCACCAUCAAACACAAGAUGGAGUCUAUGCUGGGGCCCCAGGGUCUUAGCCCUUUCUUUGCAUCCUCUUGGGCCAGGUGGGCCAGGACUGAGAUGGAGGACCGAACUAGACAUUUGAAGGGUCAGGCAGUAGAAGGCUCUUCUGUGUGUCUGGCCCUGACCUACCAGUUUCAUGAAGCCCUCAGUUCUUUGUCAGCACACAGAUGUGGGGAGACCUUUCCUCAGGCACUAAGCCCCUCAGGGACUGUCCCUAGAGCUCGGCCACACCACUGAUCCCAUUUUGUUUACUCACACCCUGCCUCGUUCCCUUCUGUCCUUGGGAAGCUGGAGUGGCUAUUAUGUUGGCACAGCGCACCUUCUGAGCACAGGGAAUUCUAGGACUGUCCUAGACUUUCCCCCUCAUCUUCCCAGUCCCGUGUCACCUCCUUCUUCAGGAGCUCGUGGCCAUUUUUAGGAGCUCAGAAGCAAAAGCAUUUCCUUCCUUUCCCUUCCUCCCUCUCUCCUUCCUUCCCUGGCUUUGUCAUUGUGCUUGUGUCUCUUGGGUGCUAGAGGAAGAGGUGGGGAUUACGAACCAACUCUUAGCAGCAGGGAGCAGCUUCUGGUCUGCUAGCCUGCCGCCCUCCUCACUGGGACAAGCAGUUCUGCAUACAAGGGAGAUGUCACAUUCCCACCACCGUCAGGGUCAAAGAUGGAGGAAGGUCUGGACUCAGCGAGAGACUCUGAGUAAACAGGGAAGGGUGUUUCUUGGGCUUUCUGCAGAUUUGCUGGGAUCAAGGUUGUCUUGGUGGAGCCUGAGCUGCUAGCUUCUUCUCUGCUAUUCUCCACUGGCUUUUUCGCCUCUGCCUUCCCACCUGAACCACCUACUGUCUGUUAUUUGCCUUUAUAUUCAAAGAUUUAUAAACAAAUCCUUCCCUCAGGGAAAUAGCAAGCUUCUGCAGUAAAGGCCAGUGGAGGUCACAAAGAAUAAAGCAAACUUUCCAGAUUCUUUGUCCUCUGAGAUGACAGAGGCCUUGGGUGAGGCAGAAAUGGCAGAAAAGCUUCAGGGGGCUAACUUUGCUACAGAAACCAGAGAUUCCCCCCCCCCGCCCCCCUCCAGUGUUGCUAGCUGCAGGCUGCCUUCAAGGCUGCAAUCAGAGAAGUCUCUCUGGAACUGGAGGGUGAAAUCAUAUCCCUGUCACUAAGAAGCGUUGGGUGUUAUGUCCCAACCACAUAGGCUCACCCAGAGGACAGUCAGAUAACAGAGAACUAAGGUCUGGGAGGAGACAGCAAAGGGCAGCAGGCCUGUGCUUACUUCCCAGGCUUUGGCAGGGAGGCAGCCCCAGGGGUUGGCAGGAAGCUGGCGCAGGGAGCUGCUUCCCCCACAUGCCCUUGGUAUGGUAGAGACACUAGAUAUCUUGAGCCCUUGCUAUAGGAACAUGGGAGAUUCAAGGUUUUUUAAGUGUAGGCCCCACCACUGCUCGCAGACCCAAUGUCCUUGCUCUCUUCAUCCAGGGUAAGCUGUGUAGCCACGCUGUAGCAGGCCUGGCCUGAGCAGGAGGGAGGAACAGCAACUUGCAAACACACGCGUUGUUUUGACUGUUGGAGAUGGGGAUUCUGUUCUCAGCAUCUAGGAAGCAGCUGGAAACCCGUUUCCAGUUCUGCAUCUGGUGGGUUCAGUCGAUUUUGUAUUAUCUGUUUAAAGUCCCCUCCACUCUGCCUGAGGGAAGCCCAGCCCAUGGAUCCUUUUAGGAUCUACUUCAGUGGCCCUGUACUCUUAGGGUGAGGCAGGUGUGCAUACCUUCCAUUCUUACAGCUUGACACUCAUCCUUAGAGGGUGGAGACCCUGUUCCAACUUAAACAGGGAUUCCACCUCUUGGGCUACAGAACUAGUCAGUGAGAGCGGUGUAUAGAUGGCUUGUGGGGUCACUGGGACUUGAGUGUCUUCUAAGACGCUGGUCCAGGAUGCCCAAGGGCUUCUUGUCUCAGGUGAAAGAUAGUUAAUCAGAAUGUCAUUUCCUGUCUCUGCUCCUAAGGGAGGCAGGCAUUUUGAAUGUAUGGAUCCAUAGAAAUCAAUAGAGAAAUUGCUAUUUUUUUUUAAGAAGAGAAUUUUAAAAAGCAAUAAUUUAACUGAAGUAGACAUGCAAUGUAAGGAACCCUGAGCCAAGAGCAGGUCUCCUGGGUUCGGGCUCUGCUUGAGUGCCAGUGAUACUGUGACAUUGGAUGAGUCAGGCCUCAUUUCUGGGACUGGUUUCUUCAGCUAUAAAGGGGAUUGCGCUGGUCUCCACUGAGGCCAGUUCUUUGUGGAAUGUCAGGCAUCCUAUGCCCCAGAGGAUGUGUUCUGAGUAACGGGCAGAUCUGAAGUGGUGGAAUGUGCGGGAAAGCCUAGAUCAGAGCUUCUACAAUGUUCCUCCAGGGAGGGCUGGGACAUCUUUCCUCCCUCCUGGAUAGACUCAAGGGGGUAGUCUGUAGCUGGCACUGACUUCAGGCCCUGACAGUUGCUGUCUUUGGAUUCUACUAUGGCUCAGUUGCUGAAGAGAUUCAGAAGAGCCUGACUCCUGCUUGGGUUCACUUUGUACAGCGGGCCAUCGCUAAGAUGAUGGAACCAUUCUCCCCCACUCCUCCAAUGGGAUUUGUACAGCAGUGACUGGAUGGGAGGUGAUGCUGUCUGCAUGGGACAGUACAGAUUUCCUCUUCCCCUGUCACUCCCUGGGCACUGACUACGAUUGACCAAAGAAACUGCUUCCUCUUUCCCAAGGAUGGGUCCUACACCUGCCCUCCCUACCCCACGUGAAAGGCGCCUUGUGUUGGAUGAAGCCAGACAUGGCCGAAGCUUAGAGAUGGACCCUUGGACCCUUUUUCCCAACCAAAAAGGCAGGCUUUCACCCGGAAAGGGAGUCUGGACUGCUGCAUCCAAUAGUCUCGUAGCUGCUGCUCCAGGAGGUCCACCAUUCACCCUGACGGUUGCUGCUGUGCCUGGCAAGUCAUUGGGCUGACUGCACCUCAGAAACCAGAGGUUCCUUUUCUAGGGAAGAACUGCUGCAUCUUCAGUACACAAGGAAGACCAGUCAUAGCUACCACCUCCGUCGCCUGGUCCUGAUGUGAGCCUUCAGUGUGCAAUAUGUGCUGCUAGCCAGUCUAACACCAGGAUGCCUGGCUUGUCAGAACAAGUCCCCCAUAACCACUGGUACCCCCAGACCAGUUAGAUUUAGUAGGUACCCACCAUGAAUGCUAGGGUUACUGCACAGGCCCCUUCUCUAGAUUCUUGUGUGAAACCAUUGGCUCCUCAACAAGCAGAAAGGGAAGGCAGGAGAGAAGACCAUCCACAAGUGGAGUGAGCCAGGAGCUGCUCAAAGCAUUUACACCAAAGAAAACAUUUCAGAAGCCAGGGACCCUGUAACUCGAGCCCUGGCAGAAGGAGCCAGGGUCUGAAACCCAAGGGGUUUCCUAGUGGGCUUCUGGUCAGUUCCCUUCCCUGCAGGAGCAGUCUCCUCCCUUAGUUCAUUCCUGCAUUCCCUCCGAGGGGCGGGAGGAAUGCCAGCAGGGGAGAUGGCAGGACCUAGACACAUCCUCAGGACUCUCCCAGCCUCCCUUGCCAUGGCAACGCUGCUAUUUUUAUCCUGUUGUUCAUGAUGCUCAAAGCUCUGACUUUCUCUGUUCCAGAGAGCCCAGCUGCCUUCUGCCCCCAUCCCUCAGCAUAGCACCUUCUCGAAGAGGCAAAGGGGUAAGGAAGAAAGGGGGGACACAUUUAAGUCUUCCUUCUCUAGAGGGACCUAUUUGGUUUGCUGGCUUAAAUAACCAGUUUUGGGUUUUCUGAGAGGUCUGAACUAUGAUCAAGUAGGAAGGGCCACUGCUGGGGUGCCUUCCCAGUGAGCCCUGACAUGCACUGCUGCCUCUUUUGGGAACACCUGAGGUUCUGAGGAAUGUCCUGUUGGCAUAAGCAAUACAUAAAGUACUCUGCUUGGCCAGUUAGCAGUCAGAUAACUUGAUGUUGCUGUGGAAUUUAAGCUACUUCUCCUCUAUCCCUCUACCAAGGAGCCAGGACAUAUACACUUGCAUCUUUGUCCAAUUAUUCUACCCAAAGCAAGGCAGCAUAUCAUCCCCAGGCUAGAAAGCAGACUCCCUCCAGUUUAGCCAUAUUCCGACGAGGUCCCACCUCCAUACCCCUGCAAGGGGCUAGGGAUGAAGCCCAGGGCCACAGAACCACUAGGCAAAUGCUCUCCCACUGAGUUCCAUCUCUAGCCUGGAGCACACUGCUUUUGAAGGCUGCAUUUAGUGAAAGGCAUUCUUUAGCUGUUCUUUCUGCCACCCUUCCAUUGCCCAGCCUUUACCUGUCUUCUUGUGUCCCAACUUCCACUACACUGGCAGGGAAUCCCUGAGAAUCACUGGUGCUAAUGGUCUCCAUCUAUACUCUCCUUUGUUGAUCUGUGGGGUGUGAACUCAGCAUGUGGGGUGGCUGGGCUAUGGGGUACAUUCUAUGUAUAUCCCCAACACCUCUACCCAGGAAGCAGGUCCGGGUCUUAACCCAGCAAAGCACCAAUCUACAUCUUGUUAACCUUUGCUUCGGUUGAGUUGGCUCCUGAAUGGUUGUUUUCCUAGGGUGGCUGAGACCCAUUUACUAAGCCUCGUUGGUUUUAUUUUGGCUCUAGCUGCACAGUUUCCGAAAUCUAUGCAUCUGGAGUAAGCAUUUUCUGGUCGCCACUGAAAAGCAUGCUGGCAGAUUCUGCUCCGAUAAUUGCUGUAAUAAACACACUUUAUUACGUC